AAGAAGGAGGUGGAUCGAGAGCUCCAGUGCCCCCUGGCCCCAAGACCAGACCAGAGCACAGCCACCCAGUCAAAUGACGGGUGUCGGGGCAAACCAAGGGCCUGUGUUCCGAUUGGUUAAAGCCCAGAGGCCUCUGCCAACAAAGGGCGCGCUGGUUGGUAGAGGGGGACCAAUGAGAAGUCGCGGCACUGGCGUCAAGUGCACGCGCAGAAGCCACGCGCUGUCGGGGACAUCUGGUACUUCCACCCGGGGUGAGGGCAGCGGUGUCCCGAAGGCCUCACUGUUCCUGUCGCGUGGCCCGCUCCGCCGGGCUUGGCAGGACUCGGCUCUCCCGUUCUGCCGUUACCAGGACGACCGUCUCCCCGCAGCCCAGGCUGCCCAGACUGGCGCCAUGAGCUCCUCCGACAAGGUAGCCGUUUGUGGGGCCAGUUUCGGCCUGGAGGGUGGCAAGCAGGCUGGCUCCUGCAUGGCCAGCCCCGGAGCCCCACGGGGCCAGGGCCACGGCCUCGAUUUGGGGGCGCCAGGCAGCCGCGAGGGCGAGAGCAGGUUCACAGAUCCGGAGGGCUUCAGCUUCGAGUCUGAGAGCGAAUUGAUAGAGCCGGGAAAGGUGGUGCUCUGGGGCCGGGAAGGCCGGCCUGGCACCCCAGUCGACGACCAAGGGGACGAUGUGGACUACUCGUCCUCCCUGGCUGACGAACCAGCCACCAUCGUGCCACCGGCCCAGCGUCCAGAAGGUGCCCCUGCCGAAGGGUCGGCUGACAACUGGGCGGACCUGGAGGUCGGUCCCAGUGGGAGAGGCGUGCUGGGCCCCAGCCCUGGAGAAUGGCAGCAGGCCUCCGCCGGCCCCUGGGAGCCCAGGGUUGUCCUCGGUGCAUCCGGCUGCAGAGGGAAAUUGAGGACCUUACACAGCAGCUAGUGCCCGGUUCUGCCUCUCUGUUUCAGCGGCCAUGCAGUUCUUCAAUGACAAGUUCCAGGACCUUUGAAGUUGGAGCCAGCGUCCGGAGCUGCAGCCAAGCGAGUUUCCUCCUUAUCCUCCUUAGCCAGGGCUUUUUCUCUUCCGCUGCAUUUGCCCCCUUCCCAACGCAGUUCAAAGCAGUGUGAAAUAAAGUCGUUCUCAUAUUC